UACGUAGGGGGCUAGCGUUGUUCGGAAUUACUGGGCGUAAAGCGCGCGUAGGCGGCUUUGUAAGUUAGAGGUGAAAGCCCGGGGCUCAACCCCGGAACUGCCUUUAAGACUGCAUCGCUUGAAUCCGGGAGAGGUGAGUGGAAUUCCGAGUGUAGAGGUGAAAUUCGUAGAUAUUCGGAAGAACACCAGUGGCGAAGGCGGCUCACUGGACCGGUAUUGACGCUGAGGUGCGAAAGCGUGGGGAGCAAACAGG
rnacentral:rRNA from 1 species